ensembl:lncRNA
AUGAUCUUUCUUUUGAUCUCUCUCUGUCUCUCUUUCUCCUUCUCUUGUACUUCCUCUUCCAUCUCUUUUUGCUUCUGUUUACACAUUUCUUCAUCAUUCUCUCUUUUGAUCUCUCUCUGUCUCUCUUCUUCUCUUUCUUCCUCUUCCAUCUCUAUUUGCUUCUGUUUAAAUAGUUGUUCUUCAUUCUCUCUUUCAAUCUCUUUCUGUCUCACUUCUCUUUCCAUGUUUUUCUGUCUCUUCUCCAUUCUCUUUCUUUUGAUCUCUCUCUGUCUCUCUUUCUCCCUCUCUCGUUCUUCCUCUUCCAUCUCUAUUUGCUUCUGUUUACAUCUUUCUUCUUCGUGCUCUCUUUCAAUCUCUUUCUGUCUCUCUUCUUUUCUUUCGAUAUGUUUUUGUCUCUUUUCCAUUAUCUUUCUUUUGAUCUCUCUCUGUCUCUUCUCCCUCUCUCGUUCUUCCUCUUCCAUCUCUAUUUGCUUCUGUUUACAUCUUUCUUCUGCGUGCUCUCUUUCAAUCUCUUUCUGUCUCUCUUCUUCUCUUUCGAUAUGUUUUUGUCUCUUUUCCAUUAUCUUCCUUUUGAUCUCUCUCUGUCUCUCUUUCUCCCUCUCUCUUUCUUCCUCUUCCAUCUCUAUUUGCUUCUGUUUACAUCUUUCUUCUUCAAUCUCUCUUUCAAUCUCUCUCUGUCUCUCUUCUUCUCUUUCCAUAAUUUUCUGUCUCUUCUCCAUUCUCUUCCUUUUGAUCUCUCUCUGUCUCUCUUUCUCCCUUUCUCGUUCUUCCUCUUCCAUCUCUAUUUGCUUCUGUUUACAUCUUUCUUCUUCAAUCUCUCUUUCAAUCUCUCUCUGUCUCUCUUCUUCUCUUUCCAUAAUUUUCUGUCUCUUCUCCAUUCUCUUCCUUUUGAUCUGUCUCUGUCUCUCUUUCUCCCUCUCUCUUUCUUCCUCUUCCAUCUCUAUGUGCUUCUGUUUGCGUCUCUCCUCUUCUUCUUCUCUCUCCAUCUCCUUCUUCUUCUCAUCUUCUUCUUGUCUCUGUUUUGGUAUUUUCUCCAUUCUCUUUCUUUCUACCUCUUUCUGUUUGUUGUGCUCACCCUCCAUCUUCUCCUCCAUGUCCAUUUGGUUCUGUUUCCAUUUAUAUUUGUCUGUUUCCAUAUUUUCUAAUUCUAUCUGCUGUUCCUUGAUUUUCUUGAAGACUUCCUCCAAUUCAGACGUAUUUUUGUCAUUGAUGAGGGCUGUCUCCAUCUCCAUCUCUCUCUCCACUCUAUUUUUCAACUCCUCUUCACUUCGUCUCCAAUCAUUUUCUCUCUCUCUGUCUCUAUCAAAUGUUCUCUCUGGUUCAGUCUCGUCUUUCAAUCUAAUCUCUUCUUUCAUUCUCACAACCUCUCUGUCUAACACUAGUACAUUUUGGUUAACCUGUUUCACUCUCUCAUUCUGUCUUCUAAACGCUUCUUUCGCUCUUUCAAAUUUGAUUUUGUAUUGA